UACGAAGGGUGCAAGCGUUAAUCGGAAUUACUGGGCGUAAAGCGUGCGCAGGCGGCUUGCCAAGUCAGAUGUGAAAGCCCCGGGCUUAACCUGGGAACGGCGUUUGAAACUGGCAGGCUAGAGUUUGGCAGAGGGGGGUGGAAUUCCGCGUGUAGCAGUGGAAUGCGUAGAGAUGCGGAGGAACACCGAUGGCGAAGGCAGCCCCCUGGGCUGACACUGACGCUCAGGCACGAAAGCGUGGGGAGCAAACAGG
rnacentral:rRNA from 1 species